rnacentral:rRNA from 1 species
CCUACGGGAGGCAGCAGUGGGGAAUUUUGGACAAUGGGCGCAAGCCUGAUCCAGCCAUGCCGCGUGAGUGAAGAAGGCCUUCGGGUUGUAAAGCUCUUUCAGACGGAAAGAAAACUCUGGGUUAAUACCCUGGGAGGAUGACGGUACCGUAAGAAGAAGCACCGGCUUACUACGUGCCAGCAGCCGCGGUAAUA